GGGUUGUGAGGUUAAGCGACUAAGCGUACACGGUGGAUGCCCUGGCAGUCAGAGGCGAUGAAGGACGUGCUAAUCUGCGAUAAGCGUCGGUGAGGUGAUAUGAACCGUUAUAACCGGCGAUUUCCGAAUGGGGAAACCCAGUGUGUUUCGACACACUAUCAUUAACUGAAUCCAUAGGUUAAUGAGGCGAACCGGGGGAACUGAAACAUCUAAGUACCCCGAGGAAAAGAAAUCAACCGAGAUUCCCCCAGUAGCGGCGAGCGAACGGGGAGGAGCCCAGAGCCUGAAUCAGUGUGUGUGUUAGUGGAAGCGUCUGGAAAGGCGCGCGAUACAGGGUGACAGCCCCGUACACAAAAAUGCACAUAUUGUGAGCUCGAUGAGUAGGGCGGGACACGUGGUAUCCUGUCUGAAUAUGGGGGGACCAUCCUCCAAGGCUAAAUACUCCUGACUGACCGAUAGUGAACCAGUACCGUGAGGGAAAGGCGAAAAGAACCCCGGCGAGGGGAGUGAAAAAGAACCUGAAACCGUGUACGUACAAGCAGUGGGAGCCUCUUAAUGGGGUGACUGCGUACCUUUUGUAUAAUGGGUCAGCGACUUAUAUUCUGUAGCAAGGUUAACCGAAUAGGGGAGCCGAAGGGAAACCGAGUCUUAACUGGGCGUUAAGUUGCAGGGUAUAGACCCGAAACCCGGUGAUCUAGCCAUGGGCAGGUUGAAGGUUGGGUAACACUAACUGGAGGACCGAACCGACUAAUGUUGAAAAAUUAGCGGAUGACUUGUGGCUGGGGGUGAAAGGCCAAUCAAACCGGGAGAUAGCUGGUUCUCCCCGAAAGCUAUUUAGGUAGCGCCUCGUGAAUUCAUCUCCGGGGGUAGAGCACUGUUUCGGCAAGGGGGUCAUCCCGACUUACCAACCCGAUGCAAACUGCGAAUACCGGAGAAUGUUAUCACGGGAGACACACGGCGGGUGCUAACGUCCGUCGUGAAGAGGGAAACAACCCAGACCGCCAGCUAAGGUCCCAAAGUCAUGGUUAAGUGGGAAACGAUGUGGGAAGGCCCAGACAGCCAGGAUGUUGGCUUAGAAGCAGCCAUCAUUUAAAGAAAGCGUAAUAGCUCACUGGUCGAGUCGGCCUGCGCGGAAGAUGUAACGGGGCUAAACCAUGCACCGAAGCUGCGGCAGCGACACUAUGUGUUGUUGGGUAGGGGAGCG
rnacentral:rRNA from 4 species